AUGGGCUUUGCUGAAGAGAAUCCCGUCGCCGACGGGAGGCUCGGACGGCCGCGGCCGCGACGCUCCGCCGCCGUCGUCUGCGAGCGGCCGCCGCACAGGACGGGACCAGCAGGCGGCAGCUGUUUCCUUCCUCGGCAAGCCAGGCUCCACGCAGGUGACGUGUCUCCCUGUGCCUACCAAAUGUGGGCCCCACAUGUCAGUGGACGGCAACCGCCACGUCAGAUUCGCCGCCCGCCUCUCUCGUCGCCGAGAGCCUAUUUAAACCCGACGCCGCCUCGGCGCUAACCGCCGCGACAGCAAACACCUCGCCUCUCUCUCUCUCUCUCUCUCUCUCUCUCCCCCUUUCUCUCUCGCUUGCUGCUCGCUCCUCGCCGGCGACGAGGGCAGGAAGCCAUGUUCGGCACGGAGUCCAGCAGCACGGGCGGGAGCUCGUCGACGAGCACAGGCGACAGCCCUCACUGCUGGAGCCCGGGGACGAACGUUCAGCCGGGCGCGGGCGUGGGCUUGAACUCGAUCUGCUUCGCGUCGUCCGGCGACGGGCCCGCGCGCCUUGGCGUGGCGCCGUUCGAGAACGGGCAGUACGUGCGGCUCCUCAACCGCGGCCGCGGCGGCUACCUCUUCGCCGACGAGUCGGGGGUGCGCGUGCGCACCGACUGCCGCCGCGGGCUGAUCAACACCGUGUGGUGCGUGCAGAUCCUGGGGGGAGACACCCCGCACAUCUUGCUCCGCGGCGCCUACGGCCGCUACGUCGCCGGCACGCCCUUGGGCGCGGACGAGGGCCACAUCGGCAUCCUCGUCACGCAGCGCGUCUUGGAGACGAUGGACACCAACGUCAUGUGGCGCACCGUCCCGGGCCCGAGAGGCGGAGGCGUCGUUCUCAUCAACGCGAGCUCGUUCAAUGGAGGUCUGAGGGCCCUCCGGACCAACGGCAAGUACCAACGCUGGAACACGGGCGUCAGCCUCCAGUGCAUCGACCGCUUCAACGCGCGCUUCAGCUCGAUGAUGGAGUGGGAGGUUCAGGUCAUCCCCACGAGGGUGCAGAGGCCACCGUUCCAGGUGGGAGGAGCAGCAUGGCUUUGUGGGCUACAGCGCCGAGGCUCUGGAGAGAUACAAGUCGGUGUUAGGGUGGCUGAUGAUGAUGGGAACUUCAAUAUCCCGGGCCCGCAAAAUCUGUCGGUCCCUGGAAGGAGUCUGAUUGAACUGGGCAGUGUCCUGGAAGAUCGACUCGGCAGCAACUUUCGCUUCCGGAACAUGUCCAUCUUUAUUCGAGCAGGCAGUCUUGGGCAGCCCUUCCCUCUGCUCACUGAUCUUCCCAGUGAACUUGACUACUUCGAGGUCGUGGUGUUCAUGGUUGGUACACCAGGGUACAGGCGGCUGCGCUUUCCAGAUAUUGAUGCUGCAUAGGAGAAAAGGAUAGGAAUAGGACCAGGCAACACUUUCUUCCCCUCCCGGCCUCCCCUGGACAGUGUGGUCGACGCCUCCACCAUUUUACAGCAACAUGAUGGCUUUGGAGGAUUAGAAAAGUCCCCUUUGGUUUUUCUGAACAGUCCCUGGCAAUGUAUCAGUUUACUGUCACUACUAGCAAUAGGAUAAUCAGUUACCAAAAAAAAAAAAAAACAGUCCUGGACUGAUUCUUUCGCAACACUUUUGGACAUUAGGAGACGGCUUUGUUCUUCUGAUGUUUUUGGCACUUCGCUGGAAGUAUGACUAUGAGUAUGCUUCUUGCUCAUAGGAAUGUGCUGAAGUCGUUAGUUCUCUGUU
rnacentral:lncRNA from 1 species